rnacentral:rRNA from 1 species
GAUGAACGCUGGCGGCGCGCCUAACACAUGCAAGUCGAACGAUUAAAGCACCUUCGGGUGUGUAUAAAGUGGCGAACGGCUGAGUAACACGUGGGCAACCUGCCCCUCUCAUUGGGAUAGCCACGGGAAACCGUGGAUAAUACCGAAUACUUCGGGACUUCCGCAUGGAAGACUCGAGAAAGCUCCGGCGGAGAGGGAUGGGCCCGCGGCCUGUUAGCUUGUUGGUGGGGUAAUGGCCUACCAAGGCAAUGAUGGGUAGCUGGGUUGAGAGACCGACCAGCCAGAUUGGGACUGAGACACGGCCCAGACUCCUACGGGAGGCAGCAGUGGGGAAUCUUGCACAAUGGGCGAAAGCCUGAUGCAGCGACGCCGCGUGCGGGAUGAAGGCCUUCGGGUUGUAAACCGCUUUCAGCAGGGACGAGGCGAAAGUGACGGUACCUUCAGAAGAAGCCCCGGCUAACUCCGUG